GGUUGAUCCUGCCAGUAGUCAUAUGCUUGUCUCAAAGAUUAAGCCAUGCAUGUCUAAGUAUAAACACCUUUAUACUGUGAAACUGCGUACGGCUCAUUAUAUCAGCAAUAAUUUAUUUGAUGGUACCUUACUACUUGGAUACCCGUAGUAAUUCUAGAGCUAAUACAUGCACAAAAGUCCCAACUCUUGCGGGGAGGGAUGUAUUUAUUAGAUACAAAACCAAUUCGGCUUCGGUCGAUCUAUUGGUGAAUCAUAGUAACUGUUCGAAUCGCAUGGCUUUAUGCUGGCGAUA
rnacentral:rRNA from 1 species